AUGGCUUCUUCCUUCGCCGCUUUAGCGGCUCUAGCCAUCAGCUGCCUCCUCAUCCUCCAUCCGUGCAGCGUCUCCGGUUGGUCCGACGGCGGCGCGACGUGGUACGUUCCCCCCGAAGGCGCAGGCACCGACGGUGGUGCAUGCGGAUACCAGCACGACGUGGAGAAGCCUCCGUUCUCCGCCAUGAUCACGGCGGGCGGCCCCUCCAUCUUCAAGAACGGCAAGGGCUGCGGCGCUUGCUACCAGGUGAGAUGCACCGGCAAUGCCGCUUGCUUCGGGUUUCCGGUGACCGUGGUCGUCACAGAUGAGUGCCGUGGCGGGCCGUGCCUGGCCGAGGCUGCCCACUUCGACCUUAGCGGGAAAGCGUUCGGCGCCAUGGCAAAGCCCGGCCAGGCCGACAACCUCCGCAAAGCUGGCAACAUUAGAGUCCAGUACAACCGGGUUCCGUGCAACUGGCAUGGGCUGAACAUCGUUUUCAAGGUGGAUGCCCGCUCCAAUCCGAACUACCUCGCAGUGCUCAUAGAGUACGAGGCCGGUGACGGCGACCUGUCAGCGGUCGACCUUCAGCAGCGCGGCGGUGGAUGGGCGUCGAUGCAGGAGUUGUCGGGUGCAGUGUGGAAGUACAAGUCCAGGUCCACCCUACAGGCCCCCAUAUCUAUCGGCCUCACCUUCGGCUCCGGCAAGCAGCUCAUCGCCAGCAAUGUCAUUCCCUCCGGAUGGCAGGCUGGAAGGACCUACCGAUCCGUCGUAAACUACUAG
rnacentral:rRNA from 1 species